AACCGGGGCUAAUACCGAAUGAUAAAGUGUGGCGCAUGCCACGCUUUUGAAAGAUGGUUUCGGCUAUCGCUUACAGAUGGGCCCGCGGUGCAUUAGCUAGUUGGUAGGGUAAUGGCCUACCAAGGCAACGAUGCAUAGCCGACCUGAGAGGGUGAUCGGCCACACUGGGACUGAGACACGGCCCAGACUCCUACGGGAGGCAGCAGUAGGGAAUCUUCCGCAAUGGACGAAAGUCUGACGGAGCAACGCCGCGUGUAUGAAGAAGGUUUUCGGAUCGUAAAGUACUGUUGUUAGAGAAGAACAAGGAUAAGAGUAACUGCUUGUCCCUUGACGGUAUCUAACCAGAAAGCCACGGCUAACUACGUGCCAGCAGCCGCGGUAAUACGUAGGUGGCAAGCGUUGUCCGGAUUUAUUGGGCGUAAAGCGCGCGCAGGCGGUCUUUUAAGUCUGAUGUGAAAGCCCCCGGCUUAACCGGGGAGGGUCAUUGGAAACUGGAAGACUGGAGUGCAGAAGAGGAGAGUGGAAUUCCACGUGUAGCG
rnacentral:rRNA from 1 species